rnacentral:lncRNA from 1 species
CUUACAGGGUGGGGAGAAACAGCGGGUCUUCACUGGUAUUGUUACCAGCUUGCAUGACUACUUUGGGGUUGUGGAUGAAGAGGUCUUUUUUCAGCUAAGUGUGGUGAAGGGCCGUCUGCCCCAGCUGGGUGAGAAGGUGCUGGUGAAGGCUGCAUACAACCCAGGCCAGGCAGUGCCCUGGAAUGCUGUCAAGGUGCAAACGCUCUCCAACCAGCCCCUACUGAAGUCCCCAGCACCUCCUCUUCUGCAUGUAGCAGCCCUGGGCCAGAAGCAAGGGAUCCUGGGAGCUCAGCCUCAGUUGAUCUUCCAGCCUCACCGGAUUCCCCCACUCUUUCCUCAGAAGCCUCUGAGUCUCUUCCAAACAUCCCACACACUUCACCUGAGCCACCUGAACAGAUUUCCUGCCCGGGGCCCUCAUGGACGGUUGGAUCAGGGCCGAAGGUAAGAGGAUGA